UCUCAGUUCGGAUCGGAGUCUGCAACUCGACUCCGCGAAGCUGGAUUCGCUAGUAAUCGCGCAUCAGCCAUGGCGCGGUGAAUACGUUCCCGGGCCUUGUACACACCGCCCGUCAAGCCAUGGGAGCCGGGGGUACCUGAAGUCCGUAACCGCGAGGAUCGGCCUAGGGUAAAACUGGUGACUGGGGCUAAGUCGUAACAAGGUACC
rnacentral:rRNA from 1 species